rnacentral:lncRNA from 1 species
CCCAACUGCAGGUGUCAACAUAGUUAUAAGAUUUAGUCAAGUCCCAUUCAGCCCAGGCACUUAGUCCCUGAGCCAGAACAAGGCAAGCCCAGGAGGCAAGAGGCAAAGGCCUGGGGCAGGCCGGAGGCUGAGGCUCUCAAUGCCAGGGUUGAGAGUUAAGUCCCUGGCAGAAAGUUUUUCAAGUUUUUGAUUUUAUAGAAGAUCCAGGUUCUGCUCAGGUCCAGCUCAAACUUAACGUCAACUUGGUGACAACAGAGGAGGUGAUGAAUGAGACGGACAAAGAAGGGAAAGAGGGGCCGGCUCCAUGGCCAAGUGGGUUUUCAUGUGGACAUAAGUUUUCAACUCAUUUAAGGAAAUACCAAGGAAUGCUGGAUGCUAUGGGAAGAGAAUGUCUAUCUUUGUAAGAAACUGCCCAAGUGUCUUCCAAAGUGGCUGCACCAUUUUGCGUUCCCACCAACAAUGAAGGAGAGUUCCUGUUUCUCCACAUCCUUGUCGGCAUUUCGUGCUGUACGUGUUCUGGAUUUGGGCCAUUCUAAUAGGUGUGUACUGGUAUCCCAUUAAUGUCUUAAUUUGCGUUUCCCUAAGGAUAUAUGAUGUGGGGCAUCUUUUCAUAUGCUUAUUUGCCAUUGGUAUAUCCUCUUUGGUGAGGCGUCUGUUCAAGUCUUUUAACCAUCAGAUUGUUUAAUUUUUUAUCGUUGAGUUUUAAGUGUUCUUUGUAUAUUUUGGAUAACAGUCCUCUUUCAGAUAUGUCUUUUGCAAAUAUUUUCUCCCAGUCUGUGGCUUGUCUUCUCAUUCUCUUGCGAGGGUCAGUCGGGGCUCUAAGACAGACGUGGCACUAAGGGCUCGCGAAAGCCUGUCUUAACGUGUGGACUUGGAACACAGUCUUCUGGCCCAGCCACGUCUGGGCCUUGCUGCUGCUGAAGAAAAGCCACUGGCUUUUCUGGAUUCCUGAACUCACAGAUCCUGAUUGCCUGGACUGACUCUAAGCCCAAACCUGAUCCUGUCCGCCCCAGGCUGAUUCACUCUCAGCGUGCACUGUGCUCAGUGGAAAGCAGGCAUAUGCUCAGUGAACAGGACUUUGGCUCUGGGAUGUCGGCAGAUUGAGGACACCCUCUGUGGGACCAUAAACUGUGAAAACAUCAUGGAUGCUGGCGCGACCAUCUGGGUCACAUAAAAACGCCCACAGGAAGAGGCUUCUUUGAUGGAACUCUCUGAAAUCAAGCUACUGUUCAGCUCUAUGUUUCUGAGGCAGAUGCUAAUUUCUGACGUUUUCUAACUCAUGAUUCCUGCCGAAAGCUGCAAGUUAGGGGAGGGCGCAUCACAGACGGUGACCCCUCUGGUCACUCCUAAUAGACGGACUCUUGACCCCCUUGGGCAGCUGUCCUCAGAAAUGUACUGAUCUGCUCCAGGCUGCUCAUUGGAUAAAUGAUCAGGACAAAAGGAAGGGGUCGGGGGUUGUAAAAAUUAUUCUAAAAGUUCAAGAUUUCAUCCUGACCAGUUCCUGGAUAUGAUGUGUCUUUCAGGUGGGAAUGCAAAAUGGUGCAGCCACUCUGGAAAGCAGUCCGGCUGUUCUUCAAAAACCUAAACACAGAGUGACCACGUGACCCAGCCAUUCCGCUCCUACCUGUAUACUGCAUCCAAGAGGAUUGAAAACAGGUGUUCAAACAAAACCUUGUACAUGAAUGUUCACAGCAGCGUUAUUCAUAAUAGCAAAAAAGUGGGAAUAACCCAAAUGUCCAUCACCUGAUGAAUGGGUAAACAAAAUGAGAUAUACCCAUACAAUGGAACAGUAUUCAGCCAUAACAGAAUGGGGAUGAUGGGGUACUGAUCCGUGCUACAACAUGGAUGAAACUUGAAAACAUUAUGCUCAGCGAAAGAGAGCUACACACUGUAUGAUUCCAACUAUAGGAAAUGCCCAGAAUAGGCAAAUCCAUAGAGACAGAAAAUAGAUUAGUGAUUGGCAGGGAAUGAGGAAAUGGGGGAAUGGAUGGUGACCCCUCACAGGUACAGAGUUUCUCCAUAGAGUGAUGAGAAUGUUCUGGAACUAGACAAUGGAGAUGCUUGCACGACAUUGUGGAUGUACUAAAAACCAGUGAAUUGUUUAUUUUAAAACGGUGAAUUAUAUAUUAUAUGAAUUUUACCUCGACAAAAAAAAUGUUGGGGAAAAACAUAUAAAGUUAUGAUUACUGGCUGAGCCACACGAAUUUUGUAACAAAAAAGGAAAAACACAAACUUGGCCCCUGGGGAGGCACGAGAAUCGGAGGAGAGACACGCAUGAUCUUUGUCUUUCCGAACUACCCCUGGGAGCUCCCCGCGCCUCCCCAAAGAAGAAAACAAGAGGAAGGCCCAGUGCCACCUUUCCCAGUGGUUGGACUGCUUUGAGUUCAAACUGCGAGUUUAGCCCCCAUGUCUGUCCCUCCAGCUGCUCACACCUGACAGAGCUGACCAGGAGAGAGCAGGAGGGGGCCCCAGCCCUGAAUAUGUCCAGGUAUUCUGUUAAUGGGAUUUGCUUUAACUGGCUGAAUCCAGGACCCUGGAGGACAUCACUGCAGCCAGUCCUGCAGGUUGGUCUCCCUCUGGGGGCUCCUACUGAUGAUAAUUUUUCUGCAGAGACGCCUUGGCCAAGGGUCGAUGGAGGGGACUGCAGAAGAGAGUCAGCAUGGCAGGCCUGGGGCAGCUGUCUUUAGAAGGGCUGCUUACAAGGUUGGCCGGUGGCUGGCGUCCGGGGCUUUCCCAUCAUUCCCUACUUGCUGAGGGGGUACACAGAGCUGGGACUGUGCAAACGUGUGGUUUACGCUGAGCACUAGUGUUCCUUCUUGGAGUCUGGAAUUUUGGUCCCUGCUGGGCAGAGGGGGCCUAUGUGACUGGUCCCCAGUGAAAACCUGGAUGUUAGCAUUCUAAGGGGCUUCCCUGGGCAGAAACGUCACACACGCCUUGCUGCCUUUCUGUCACACUCUGUGACCCCUCGUGGGAGGGAGAGCGCACAAAAAAUCCUGGAGUGAUUCCUCCAGACCCCACCUGUGUCUCAUUCCCUUCCGAUCUGGCUGUGUAUCCUCAGAACAUUGCCGCAAUAAAUCUUAGCCGAGUUCAGCUGCAUGCUGAGUCCCAUGGGUCCUUCCAGAAAAUCACCGGACGUGGGAGCGGUCUUGGGGACUCCCAACACUGGACCUUGAAUCUUUCAAUUCCAUUCAAAUGUUGCCAAAUGUCCCAGUAAUAUUUUUCUAUAGCAAAAGGAUCCAGGUCAGAAUCAUGUGUGAUGGCUUCUAGUUGUCCUGUCUCCUAGACUCCUCGAUCUGGAACAUUUCUGCCGUCUCUUUUCCACUUUUAUCAUCUUGACAGAUUUGAACAUUAUAGGCCAGUUUUGCUAUGUAGAAUGUCCCUCAAUUUAGUUCUGUCUGGUGGUUCCUUGUAAAUUCAGAUCGUGCAUCUUUGACAAGAAUAUCACAGCAGUGACUUUUUUGUCCUCAUUCGAUCCCAACAGGUGGCCCAUGAUUUCAAUUUGUCCUGUUACUGACGGUGCUCACCUUGAUCACCGACUUAAGGUGGUGUCUGCCGGCCUUCACUGUCAACCUAAUCUUUUCUCUCCCUAAAUAGUGUCUGUGGGAAGCAUCUUUCAAGGGUGGGCUUGCAAGUUUGGCCCUUGGCUGGCCUCUGGAAUCUCGGAUUUGGGGAGUGAUAAGGGAUGAUGAGGAUCGAGUGCCUGGAUUCUGUGAAUAAUACAGUUUAUGCUAUUUUCCUUCUUGAAUUCUGGUACAUGCUAGGAAUUAGGUCCACGCUGUGUUCAGCAUAAGCACGGUGUUCACACAAAUAGUCCAGCCACAGUAAAUCACUCUUAUCAGUUGGGGAAUGGUGAGAACACUUCCAAAAGCCAGGUUUCCAGAUGCCAGCCAAGGGCCAACCUUGAAAGCAGGCCCUCCUAAAGAUAAAAGCCCCAGGCCGGCUAUGUUGACUCUUUUCUUCACAGUCCCCAACUCAGCUCCACGUGAAUGUAGCCACAAUCCAAACUCUCUUUUAGUUGCUCUUCUGAAAUAUGUGGAACCUCCUAUUUCAUCUGUCUUCCUCUUUGAGCGGCCCAACCCUCUCUCCCUCCCCUGACAGGUGGCGACCUUGAAGCCAUCGGAAUCAAUAGCUUGGGUGGGAUACCAGCAUCUUCCAUAUGAUGUUUGCAGCUGGGGUGCCUUCCGCUGUGUCAUGGAGACAUUGUGGGGGAGCUUUUGAGGAGUCUGAAUGACAGGUGCACAGAGUGUUAGCUUUGCCAGCUCUCCCAGGUGUCCAGUGUCUGGAGUCUAGUUAUUUCAGACUACAGCCCACAGGCAGAGCAGAACCCCUUAGCAGAGUUCAGUUCCUUCCAUCUCUGCUUACAAACUCAUCAGUUCUUGUCUGAGCUCAUCUCUCUUAUAAGGAUAUUGCAAAAAGCAAAAAGGGGCAGGAUACACGCCUGGGUUUUCCAACCAAUUCCCUAGGGCCACAAGCUCAGGUGACCAAUGGCCGGCUGAUCUAGUUACCAAAGCAGAUGGUUCUACAAAAUAUUUUCUUGGGACAUAAAAAAAGUCACCAACUUCUCGUCCUGCAGUAGCUGGCCUUUGCCACCUGCUGCAUGAUCACUAAGACAAUGUCACAUGUCUUAGAGUUUUAUUUUUUACAUCAGCACGCUUCUGGUGUCAGUUUCUAUAUUAGUUAAGACACAGGCUAAUCAAUGUCUGUAUUAACCCACGGAUUCUAAAAUGCGCUGCCUCAGGGAGCGGGGAAGCUCAUCUCUCAUUUCAUAUCUUACAGGUUGGUGGGCAGCAUGGGGCAGGUCGGUGGCUCUGACCCUUGACCCAUCAACUCUACCACCUUCAACAUGUGCCUUCCACCUCUAGGUCCAAGGAAGCUACCUAAAGUGCUAUUUCCCACCCAGUGGGGAGGGGAAGAAGGGAAAGUACGGGAAAUUGGCUUUGUUUUUAAGGAGAUGAACUAGAAGUUGCACAUAAUUUCUGCUCACAUCUCAUUGGCCUGAACUUAGUCACAUGGCCAUGAAGCUGCAAAGGAGACUGGGAAAUGUAGUCUGUGGCUGAGCGAUCAGCUAAAACUUAGGGCUUUUGUUACUAAGAGGAAGAAAGGGAAAAUGGAUAUUGAGGAAACUGAUGAAGUUAGCAGUCUCUGUCACAGAUGGUGUGGGGUUAACUACUCCAUGUCCUUCAGUGUCCAUUCUCCCCAUAAUAUCUCUGAUCAUAAGCCUUCCUGAAAUAAAAACUACAUUUCCCAGCUUCCGUUGCAGCCAUACGUGGCCAUGUGACUAAGUUCCAGUUGGUGGUAUGUAAGGAAAACUGAUGUGUGCAACUUGUGAGAUGUGACAUUAAGGUGGGAAGAAGCAUGCCCUUUCUAGCCUCUCUUCAGCAUUCCUGCUUCUCAGAAGGCGGAUGUGAUGGCUGGAGCCACAUUGUGGGCCAUGAGGACAAGAGCCACAUCCUAAGGUUGACAGAAUGAGAAGCCAGAAGCAGCCUAGAUCCUAGACAGUGGCAGAGCCACCCAAAUAGCCUACAUUUGAAUUUUACCUGAGAGAGAAAUAAGCUAUAUCUUGUUGAAGUUACUAUGAUCUUCAGUGUCUUUACACAAAGCCAAAUCCAAGUCCUAAUUAAUACAGAGAAUGUCAUACUUCAUGAGCCUUUUCACUCAGUAUUACAUUUUUUUAUGUGUAUCCAUAUUGACUUAUGUAUAUCUAAUUCUUUCUUUCUUUCUUUCUUUGGCACAGUUCCUUCAUGGGUCAUUGACCUAAGGCUCUUUAUUUUAUUGUGGUAAAAUAAACAUAGCAUAAAAUUGACCAUUUUGACCAUUCCUAAGUGUACCAUUCAGCGGCAUUAAGUACCUUUCAAUGUUGGACAACUGCCACUAUCCAUUUCCAGAACUUUGUCAUCAUCCCAAAUAGAAACUUUGUCCCCAUUAAGCAGUAACCCCCCAUCCGCCCUCCCCCAGCCCCUGGUAACCUCUACUUUACUUUCUGUCUCUAUAAAUUUGCCUAUUCUGGGCACUUUUUUGAAGUGGAAUCUUGCAGUAUUUGUCCUUUCGUGUCUGCUGUAAUUCAUUCAUUUUAACAACUGUGCAACAUAGUUUCCAUCUCUUCCUUUCGGUCACCUUUGUCAUCCUUUAAUGAAGUCUCAUAAUUUAUCCCAAAAUGAACUGGGACAUCCCUUCUUGGCAUGUGGGCUAUGCACCUUGCUUCUUUUUUGCAUGAGAGCAUAGAGUCUUUUUUAAAGACUUAUAUAUUCUAAUUGGUCAUUACUGCUGUUAUAGAGUGCUGUUGGUUUUUUUGUACGUUGAUCUGAUAUCCAGCUGACUUGCUGACAUUUCUUCGUAGUUCUGUUACCGCCCAAGGGGGCUCGUCUGUCUGCUCACCGCAAGGCAUGCUGAUAGUCAGGAGGCAGGGGGGUAGGAGGGAAAGGACUUUAUUACAGCUUGCUAGCAAGGGGGAAGACGGCCGACUCAUGUCUGAAAGAACCAUCUCCCAGAACAAAGACUACAGGCCAGUUAUAUACGGGGCCAAUCUCCAGGUGGGGGAGGUAGCUGGUCUCUGGGAGGGGCAGACAUCUGGUCCCAGUUCCUGACAGUCCUUUGUUUUACUGGAUAUGCAUCAGAGACUGGAGCAACGCCCUGUACCCUGAUCUUUCAGUUGUCAUUGAUGAUGGCUAUCAGUACAGGCUCUCUGCCCGGGGCUCAUCACAUUCCUAAGGAACUCAAGAGAACAAUGUUAUCAAGUUAUGGCAGCUGAGAAGGGCCAUAAAGUCCACAAAGCGUGUCUGGGUUAGUUGGUCAGAGGUCAUUUAAAGUUACAAUAUGGCUUCCUUUCCACAAUAUGGCUUCCCUUAUGUCAACCUGUGUUGAGCUGGUAUCAGUUCUUUACAGGAAAUGUUUCAAAUUAACUUGCAUAUUUAUUACAGGUUUCCAGUAGCCUCCUGAUAGCAGGCUGACGAUUCCCUUUUAUGUAUAAUUGGCCACAAAACUUUUACUCUAAUUGAGUGUUGAAUUCCAUCCAGUGGUUUUUCUCUUCUAAUUUGUUAAUAUGGUGUCUUCCAUUAAUAGAUUUUCUUUUAAAUUUUUGCUGUGGAAUUGUCACAGGUGGGAAAGCGGAGCAGAUGCUAUCAUGUGCCCCGCUAGAUCCCUUCCUGGUGGGGAGGCAUCCUUUCUACCAGCUCCAGGAGAGCUGGUGGCUGCUGGCUUCCAGCUGAGAGAUGCGCUCAGCUCAAGAGACCCUCCCUCUCAAGCUUGUGCCCCUUUCCGCAGGGCAGCCCACUUUCUUUGUCUGCUCAAUAAGGGGGACAAAAACCUGGCUCGUGCCUCAGUUAGGGACAACCCAGAAGGGCCAUCCUGGUCCUCUGGAGAUGGCUGAGCUCUUGUUGCAACCACAUCAACUUCUCCCUGAGCCCGUCCUGCCUCCCCUCUUCCUUACAAAUGUCGCCCCAGAGAGCACACCCCAGAAAGCAUCUGCUCACCGCAGAUCUCCAACCCAGAGGCUCUUUCCUGGGAAAUUCUCCAUGCCAAAAACCGCACAUACACAUGUGUGUUUAUUUUUAAACAAAAAUAAAAUAAAUACUUAAGUGUCUGCCAAUGAAGUUCUGGAAGAGAAUAUUCCUAGCACGUUAGAAGCCACCUGUGGGUGCUCCCCAUCGUCUCCUUCUGCUCUCCUCGAAGAUCAUGGAUAUCCUGAUUUUUGUAAUAAUCUCUUGUUCCUUUGUUUUUUUAGUGUUUUGUACGUAUGUAUCUAUGUAUUUCAUAUAUGUAAAUAUAGCUGUGUCUGUUUUGACCUUUGUAUAAAUGGAAGCGUACAACUGUGUUCUCCUGGGACUUGCUUCUUUCAUUCAACAUCGAUGUGAGAUUCACCCAUUUUGAGGAGAUAGCGGUUGUUUGUUACUUUGGUCCAUUCUGUGAAUAAACUGCAAUGUGUGUGUCCCUUCCUCCUUAGCGGACAUGUGCGUUGCCUCCAGUUGCUAUCAACGUUCUCGAACGUGCCUCUGGGGCCGAUGGGCUGAGUGUCCCUCCGGCAGGGUUUCUCAAUGUCCCCACUACUGACACUUUGG